rnacentral:rRNA from 1 species
AUUGAACGCUGGCGGUAUGCCUAACACAUGCAAGUCGAACGGCAGCAUAGUAUAGCUUGGUUGUUUGGUGUCGCGUGUGGCAGGGGUGUGUAGUAUACAGCAAAAUGUACUUUUUCGUGGGGUAUCUAGUCGGAAAACUAGCUAUUACACCAUAUACGAUGUGCGUGUAAAAGGAGGACAGCAUCGCAUCAUGCUAUAGGAGCUGACGAUGUCUGAUUAGCUAGUUGGUGAGGUAAAGGCUCACCAAGGCGACGAUCAGUAGCUGGUCUGAGAGGAUGAUCAGCCACACUGGGACUGAGACACGGUCCAGACUCCUACGGGAGGCAGCAGUGGGGAAUAUUGGACAAUGGGCGCAAGCCUGAUCCAGCAAUGCCGCGUGGGUGAAGAAGGCCUUCGGGUUGUAAAGCACUUUUGUUCGGAAAGAAAAGGAGCAGGUUAAUACCUCGCUGUGAUGACGGUACCGAAAGAAUAAGGACCGGCUAACUACGUG